CAGUCUCAGUUCGGAUUGAAGGCUGAAAUUCGCCUUCAUGAAGCCGGAAUUGCUAGUAAUGGCAGGUCAGCAUACUGUGGUGAAUACGUUCCCGGGCCUUGUACACACCGCCCGUCACACCAUGAGAGUUGGGAAUACCCGAAGCCUGUGAGCUAACUGUAAGGAGGCAGCAGUCGAAGGUAGAAUCAAUGAUUGGGGUGAAGUCGUAACAAGGUACC
rnacentral:rRNA from 1 species